GAUAAUGGUUUGGGACCAGUGACAUCUGGAAAUGCUGCAUCUCCAGCUAUCAGCUGUCCUCCCCUCACACUAGACUGGGGAGCUCAGGAUGGGUGGUCUUCUCUUCCACUACCCAGUGGCUUUGGCUGUCCAACCACCCUUUCUUCAGAAGGAAUUGCUUGGUUUGCUGGUCAGAUAUUUGGAUUAAACAGCCAUUUGGUAUGGGGCAAACUGAUAGCAAGUAUUUUGCACACAUGGAUUUUCUUGAAGCAGGCUGACAAGAAAAUCAGAGAAUAUAAUUUA
rnacentral:lncRNA from 1 species